UUUAUCUAGAGUGCUCAAGUCUGAGCCAGACAUCUCCAUCACCUCCUCCAAGGCUCAGACAAUACGGCCGAAGAAUCGAACCAAAUAACAUAAGAGCCAGAGAAAGGGAAGAAGUGCUGUCUUCUGGAUAGAUAUAACAUGACUGGGGCAUUGGUGAAACCAAAGAUGCAGUGGCCACCCGCAGGAGACCUGUGAAGGACAGGGACCAGCACCUUUCCCUGAGGAGCUAUUGGCAGUUAGAGUUUCAGAUUUUUGCCUGCAGCUACCUGUUGGGAUCAAAACACCCUGCCCCUGCAUUUUAAUUCUUUGAUCAGAAGAGAAGAACAAACUGGAUCCAGACUCCUAGCUGGCAAUAUGAAGAUGAUAAGAGAAGAUAAUAAGGAAAAUGAUGGAAGUUGAUAUAUACACAUGUAUGUAUGAAAUUAUGAAAUAACAACUAUAGAAGGAGAGACAUGAAGUCAGACAUGGUAACACAGACCUGGAAUCCUGUCACCCUGGCAAGGAAGUCAGUCCACUGUUUCAACCGUCUGACAGUCAGUGCAGGAAAUCAAGAGACAUCAGAUCCCCAGAACUAGAGAAACAACAACAACAAAACGAUUAAAAACUGAUCCAUGUGGGCUGAGAACCAAACCCAGGACCUCUG
rnacentral:lncRNA from 1 species